GACGAACGCUGGCGGCGUGCCUAAUACAUGCAAGUAGAACGCACAGUUUAUACCGUAGCUUGCUACACCAUAGACUGUGAGUUGCGAACGGGUGAGUAACGCGUAGGUAACCUGCCUGGUAGCGGGGGAUAACUAUUGGAAACGAUAGCUAAUACCGCAUAAUAUUAAUUAUUGCAUGAUAAUUAAUUGAAAGGUGCAAUUGCACCACUACCAGAUGGACCUGCGUUGUAUUAGCUAGUAGGUGAGGUAACGGCUCACCUAGGCGACGAUACAUAGCCGACCUGAGAGGGUGAUCGGCCACACUGGGAAUGUGACACGGCCCAGACUCCUACGGGAGGCAGCAGGAGGGAAUCUUCGGCAAUGGACGAAAGUCUGACCGAGCAACGCCGCGUGAGUGAAGAAGGUUUUCGGAUCGUAAAGCUCUGUUGUAAGAGAAGAACGGGUGUGAGAGUGGAAAGUUCACACUGUGACGGUAUCUUACCAGAAAGGGACGGCUAACUACGUG
rnacentral:rRNA from 1 species